ACAAAGCCCUGUGUAGGGGUGAGGCUUCCGCACGAGCUCGGGACUCCCUGAACGAACACCCUCUCCCCUUGCUGAGGGAGACGUCAGAGGCAGACAUCUCUGGAAUUACUCCCUUCAACCGUCAGAUGCUGGGGAGUCAGAUGGCUCACCUCCCCCCUCCCACCUCAAGAGAUGCUUCCAGAACACUCCUGCCUCAAACUUCUCAGUUGCCUGGGAAGGGGGCCUUGUCACCACAUUUGGCUGGCAUGGUGACAUCGCAGUCUGAGUCAGAGAAACACCCAGCAGGAAAGGUCAAGGCUCCAGAAUUAACUCGAGGAAAAAGUGCGAUAGGCAAAGACCAAUGUAGGGUUUUCAUUGUGGUGUUCCAGGGAGGGAACUCAGCCUGAUAAUGUAGAGAGAUGAGUUCUCUGCAGACAGGAGGGCUGGAUACUCCCAUUGUAAGAUGUGUGUUAAGGCUUUGCUAAAUCUCAGGCACUACCUGGGGGGAAGGAGCGUACACAGACUGUUUCCUUUAUCCUCAGGACACCUGGAUAAGGCAGUUAUUAUUAUGAGGACCCGUUUCACAGAAGAACAAGUAAGGUUUGGGGACAUAAAGUCACUUGUUCAAGGUCAUCCAACUACUUGAGUGCUGACUUAGGAUCUAGGCAAUUUGCAGAGUCUCUGCCAAGCCCCUUGGAAAUCAGAGAUGGGAAUUCACCCAUGGACAGAGCUGUAUCCUGAGCCCAGGCCCCUGGCUCUCCAGACAGAUUCUUUGGAUGGAAGCUCACCCAGCUGUACCUGCAAACAGAUGUCUCCUCGUUUGUUUAACCUGGCCGGAAACCAAGUUGCAGUUUUUCUUCCUUCUUAUGUCUGAAGAGUCUGGGAGAAGCAGAGACCGUGCAGCCCAAGGGAGCCGUCCAGCUCUGCACUUCAUGGGCAGGGCUUCAGGACUCAGAGCUCUGGGCUGGGGUUAGGAGUCAGGCUUGCUAAGCAGCCAUGAAGGGAAGAAAGAAAAACAGAGGGGUAAAUGACUUGCCCAAGGCCACAGAGUUAUCAAGUGAUGAAGGUGAGAUCCAAAUCCAGAUAGGCUGACGCCAAGCCUGAAACACACUCUGACAUCCUCCUGCUCCACACAGAUAUUUACAGGCAUCACCUGAGGACCAAGAAGUACACAGAGACACCCAACCAGCUCUGAGAAGCAGUCACCGGCCGCAGUCCCAGCACCCUGCCUCUGUGUUUUGGCACCAGCUCAAGAUUCUCCAGCAGGCUCUGAAUCGUAGAUCAUGAAGAAGCUGCCAGAAGGUCCCACGUACAGUUGGAAACAGACCCAGACCUACAGGGCUGUGAAUGUGGCUCCCACACGUUCAUGGGUGGGCCAGAGAAGCUUGGUGAUGAGACAGGAGUGAUGCCCAGGGAGACUGCUGGCUGCUUCCCAGAGACCUCACAAGGUGGCAUUUACCUUGGCAAGUUCCCCAGGCUCUGGCCCCCAGUCUUGGUGGUCCGGAAACCUGAUUUUGCUGGCAUACCCAGAAAGGAUCCAUCUGUUAGGAGAACACUCCCAUUAACCCAGAUCACGAGACCAAAAUAUAAGCACUUUGAGAAAUGUAACUGCCAUGGAAAAGAGGAUUGCUGCUGAAAUGGUCGUGACCAGCACUGCCUCAUCCCUGGGGAGGCAGGUUGGGAUAAGAAAGUUUCCUGAUGAAUUUAGAAUCAUCUGGAGGCUGGUUGAACCACUUGAAUGUUUAGUGGCAUCAAGCUCUGACCAUCUGCUGCAUUUUUUUCCCUGGAAGGGAGGUAGCUGACACCAGGAUCAAACAGGCCACAUCCCUGGGCAGGGCAAUACUUCCCUGGACAGGUAUAGUGUUUACCCUGCUAGUUGAUCUCUGCUUCUGAAGCUGCUGCUCUCUGUGCCCAAGAUGACCAAACAGCAGCUGGACAUAAACACCUUGCGCAGACAUGACUCCAGCCAAUAUGGGUGCCCAUCAACAAAUUGCCGUCUACUGGCUGUGGCAUUUCAACGUGUUCUCUCCAUUGUGUGCAUCCAAGAGUACAGAGUUGUUGCUGGCCCAACCAGAGAGCUCAUUUUCAACCUCUAUCCACUCCCACUGCCCCUGCAUCUGAAUGGGUUAUGGACCAAAUUCUCCCCAAUGAAAUUUGAGCAUGAGGAAUGUUCAUAGUGGUUAGGAACCAGUGUCCCAUUUUCAACUAGAUGAAAAAGAGACUCUGAGGUUUGGGAAGUGACAAGAUGGAAGGAGGCUAGGUGCCUGAGUGACCACAUGAAAAAAAAAAACAAAACUGGU